GUCUGAUCCUGGCUCAGAGCGAACGCUGGCGGCAUGCCUAACACAUGCAAGUCGCGCGGUCAGCAAUGGCAGCGGCGGACGGGUGCGUAACGCGUAGGAACGUGUCUUGAGGUGGGGGACAACCCUGGGAAACUGGGGCUAAUACCGCAUAUGGGCUGAGGCCCAAAGCCGUGAGGCGCCUUAGGAGCGGCCUGCGUCCGAUUAGCUAGUUGGUGGGGUAAAGGCCUACCAAGGCUGCGAUCGGUAGCUGGUCUGAGAGGACGAUCAGCCACACUGGGACUGAGACACGGCCCAGAUUCCUACGGGAGGCAGCAGUGGGGAAUAUUGGACAAUGGGCGCAAGCCUGAUCCAGCAAUGCCGCGUGGGUGAAGAAGGUCUUCGGAUCGUAAAGCCCUUUCGACAGGGACGAUGAUGACGGUACCUGUAGAAGAAGCCCCGGCUAACUUCGUGCCAGCAGCCGCGGUAAUACGAAGGGGGCUAGCGUUGCUCGGAAUUACUGGGCGUAAAGGGCGCGUAGGCGGCAUAGUCAGUCAGGCGUGAAAUUCCUGGGCUUAACCUGGGGGCUGCGUUUGAGACGGCUAUGCUAGAGGGUAGGAGAGGGUCGUGGAAUUCCCAGUGUA
rnacentral:rRNA from 1 species